GCACAAGGGAGGACUCGUCUGAGGAGGAUGAGUUGGCAUGGGACGAUGCAUCGGACGUUGCCUUGGACGAGGGUUAUGAUUCACAGGGCACAAUUUGGUAACCAUUCAUUAUUUUUAGUGCGCUCACAGCUCAAUCCAGUGGGAACGUGGGUCUUCAAAUUAGGCAAAGGUUUGGUGAUGCAGCAGGUGUUUUAGUUUCUUAGAAGAUCAUGCGUGAUGUUUUAUGUUUGGACAAACAAUGGGUAGCUAUAGAAAACUGUUUUGGACU